UAUGCUGCAGCAGGAGGUGCUGAAUUCUCAGGAGAGGCUCCUUUUGUCCUCCCUGGGUCCGGAGAAGAUAUCAGAGCCUUGUUCUGAGGACCGAAUUUAAGGCAGGACCGCCUUGCUGUGAGGAUCUUCACCAGGUCAGAGGAGGAGACCCGUCCUGUCAGCAAAGGCAGCAGGUGAGAUCUGCUGGGAAUCAAGACUUUAUUCCAUUUUUUCCUUUUCUCAUAUUUAUUCCUUUCCCUUCGUUCCCACUUUUUAAUUUUAUGCCCCUCUGCUCUUUCCAAACUCUCUCUUCUUUUUUUCUUGCUUCUUUUCUUUUUUUCUUUUUUGUACUGGGGAUCAAACUCUGGUCAUUGCAUUUACAAGGCAGGCGGCAGCCCCUCUGAGCUAAAUCCCCAGCCCCGCACUCUCUCUUCAUUGGGCACCCUCCCCA
rnacentral:lncRNA from 1 species